ACCGAGCCCGGUAGCGCAGUGGGCCAGAGCGUUAUGUGACAAACGUAACUGAUUUACUGCCUAUCGACUCCCGGGUUCAAAUCCCGGUUUCGAUA